rnacentral:rRNA from 1 species
GACGAACGCUGGCGGCGUGCCUAAUACAUGCAAGUAGAACGCUGAAGAGAGGAGCUUGCUCUUCUUGGAUGAGUUGCGAACGGGUGAGCAACGCGUAGGUAACCUGCCUUGUAGCGGGGGAUAACUAUUGGAAACGAUAGCUAAUACCGCAUAACAAUGGAUGACACAUGUCAUUUAUUUGAAAGGGGCAAUUGUUCCACUACAAGAUGGACCUGCGUUGUAUUAGCUAGUAGGUGAGGUAAUGGCUCACCUAGGCGACGAUACAUAGCCGACCUGAGAGGGUGAUCGGCCACACUGGGACUGAGACACGGCCCAGACUCCUACGGGAGGCAGCAGUAGGGAAUCUUCGGCAAUGGGGGCAACCCUGACCGAGCAACGCCGCGUGAGUGAAGAAGGGUUUCGGAUCGUAAAGCUCUGUUGUAAGUCAAGAACGGGUGUGAGAGUGGAAAGUUCACACUGUGACGGUAGCUUACCAGAAAGGGACGGCUAACUACGUG